CCCACCUCAGCCUACGAUUGGAAAGAAAGCAAGUUGUUUCGGGUGGAACGAGGUCUCUUACAGGAGGCAAGACAGUCUUAUUAUUUAAAAAAAAAAUUCUUUUCAAGGAGGAGCUCUCGGCAAAUGAAUAUCGAGGCACCUCCCUAGCUGGUUACGUUUGGGACGCGAUAACUCGGGGCCGCUUCCAGACCUGCGUAGAAGUAAUUACUGGGUUAUCACGGAGGGGAAAAGAGACCGACGUUAGCACGUUAGGACGAAGAGAGUCGUCCGCAAUCUUUCUUGCUGAGAAAAAGUCCAUUCGCAAGCUAGCCCCGGGGCUUACGCGCGCGAGCUUCCGCGUGCAGCUGGAAAUGCGCUAGGUUCAGUAGCGAAACAUACUGCGUAGACGCCCCAGGCGGCGCCGAGAGAAGAGCCAGGCCCGCCUAGCACGGAGCGAGCGAGCGCCGGGCCUUCUGGAAGGGUAAGUUCCCCGCCAAGGCGUCCCCGAGGGAGCCAGACGUCGGAAUCCGGACUCGCCCCCAGCUUCGGGGUUCGAUCCCGGGUUUCACGCGCCCCCAGCCCCCAGGGCUUUCCGCAGCAUGGCCUGGCUCCAGGCCCGGUCCGUCUGGGGCUGAAGCGGCAGCGAAAAGUGCAGGAACGCAGCCGACCGAGCGGCCCCAGGAGCUGAGGUCAGGCCCGCGGGGAGAGCGGGCAGUGGUUUCCAGCGCCGGACGCGGACGCCAGGGUCCCCCGGGCCGCAGACUCUGCAGCUUCGAGCAAGCAGAGCCCGCGUCCCUCCUCUCGGCCAGGCCACAGGGGCGUCCCCAAGCUUGGCUUUCGUUUCCCAAGGUAUUAAUAAUUAUCUUUUCCCCAAUGUGAGGCCCGUUGGGUGCAGCGUUUGCUCCCAGAUGCCAAGAGCCGAACGCGAAAUCCUUCGCCUAAAGCCUUGAGAGGAGUUCUUAUUUGACCUCUGGGCCAAGGUGGGCCAGAACCGGAGGCCUGGGCUCCGCUGGGGCUGGAAGGGGAAGGCGAAACUCCGAUCGGGGCGAGCUCCUUUCCAUUUGGCUCCCUUCUCUCGCAUCCCUGCGCAGGCCCCGCAACCCCCCUGGUCUGGCUCACAAAGGAUUCCGCAAACUCAGCUUCCCGGACCCACUUUCCCAGGCGCUCCGGAGGGCGCGCUGCGACUAGAAGAAAACAACGACCUAGUUCGGCAGAUGAGAUUUUUUUCCCCCUUGGUUGGGGUAGUGAGAUGAGAAAUAGAAGUGGAAACAUCCUUCUAGAAGCCCAGCUGAGACAUCAGUGCUGGAGAUUUGCGGGCUCCACAGGAACAGAGAAGGCGCCCGGGCCGUGAGCACCACAGCGGGUCUCCUCUGGCCUCCUGCUGCUGGGUUUCUGGCCUUUGGGGACGCGGCCUCGAUAGAAGGGUCCGGAAGCGGGGACCACAGAUGCCUUGCCCCCCAUCACAAUCCCUCCCGGAAAACACUGGGCUGAAACUGACAGAGGCUCGCCCUGGGGUGCAACGGACCGAGGUCCCCGGUGGAGAAGUUCCUGGCGAUUGUUUCCGCAAGGGCCCUUCGGUUUCCUGGUCUCCAUGGCAACCCCGGAGUCCCGUCGAACGCUCUCAACAAUGGGGCGCCCCGAGGACAAUCGCGCACUUGCUCUGCGAGCUCUGUGUCCUGCAGGGCGCUUCCGCCCGUCGCUCUUGGCUUUCCGGAGCCACUUAGGUAGAUUCAACACGAAAGGGAUUGAAAAACUACCCCCCCCCCCUUUUUUUUUUAAACGGGGGAGAAAAAUCGAGAUUUAGUAGAAUCUCUGCUGGCUAGGGUCGUGUCCUGAGCAAAAGCCCCAACUUGGAGUUCAGAGCGAUGACCUCGGAGACGCGAGCGCGGGCGGCGGGCAGGAUGGUUUCAUCGAAGCCCGCACCUCGAGCAUCUCCACCGGGAACCUGGGACUCUAGGAGUCUCGGAAUCUCUCCACAUCUGCUGCCCGUCUCAUCCGCACCCGACGCUCCCCGCAUCCAACCAAGCGACCCCUUCGCUUGCCCGGAAUAACUUCUCCUAAAUGGAAGGAGAGAAGUCGGGAACUAGAAAUAGUGGCAUUAAGGUCUGCAAGGUCUUUAUGAGGGAAAGAAUACAUUAUACGUUUCCUUUUAGAGAAAACAUUUUCCAUUGUGGAUGUAAUAUAAAUAACAUUAAAAUAAUAUUUGGGGGU